rnacentral:rRNA from 1 species
AGUGAACGCUGGCGGUAGGCCUAACACAUGCAAGUCGAACGGCAGCACAGUAAGAGCUUGCUCUUACGGGUGGCGAGUGGCGGACGGGUGAGGAAUACAUCGGAAUCUACUUUUUCGUGGGGGAUAACGUAGGGAAACUUACGCUAAUACCGCAUACGACCUACGGGUGAAAGCAGGGGAUCUUCGGACCUUGCGCGUUUGAAUGAGCCGAUGUCGGAUUAGCUAGUUGGCGGGGUAAAGGCCCACCAAGGCGACGAUCCGUAGCUGGUCUGAGAGGAUGAUCAGCCACACUGGAACUGAGACACGGUCCAGACUCCUACGGGAGGCAGCAGUGGGGAAUAUUGGACAAUGGGCGCAAGCCUGAUCCAGCCAUACCGCGUGGGUGAAGAAGGCCUUCGGGUUGUAAAGCCCUUUUAUUAGGAAAGAAAAGCAGCAGGUUAAUACCCCGCUGUUCUGACGGUACCCAAAGAAUAAGCACCGGCUAACUUCGUG